CAGUCGCCGCGGGAAUACGAAGGGGGCUAGCGUUGUUCGGAUUUACUGGGCGUAAAGGGCGCGUAGGCGGACUGAUAAGUCAGGGGUGAAAUCCUGGAGCUCAACUCCAGAACUGCCUUUGAUGCUGAAGAUCUUGAGUUCGGGAGAGGUGAGUGGAACUGCGAGUGUAGAGGUGAAAUUCGUAGAUAUUCGCAAGAACACCAGUGGCGAAGGCGGCUCACUGGCCCGAUACUGACGCUGAGGCACGAAAGCGUGGGGAGCAAACAGGAUUAGAUACCCCAGUAGUCCCUGUCUCUUAUAC
rnacentral:rRNA from 1 species